rfam:Ornithorhynchus anatinus chromosome 18, whole genome shotgun sequence.
GUAUUCUAUGAAAGGAGAGGGGGUUAUAGCAUUGCUCUUGAGAAGAGUAGAAGAGGUCUUGGUGGUCUUUACGACACAUAAACGAUUAAGGCAUUUGCCACCUACUUCCUGGCAUCUGACCACGUUUUUCC